GGCCAGACUCCUACGGGAGGCAGCAGUGGGGGAUAUUGCACAAUGGGGGGAACCCUGAGGCAGCGACGCCGCGUGGGUGAAGAAGCGCCUCGGCGCGUAAAGCCCUGUCAGCAGGGAAGAAAAUGACGGUACCUGAAGAAGAAGCCCCGGCUAACUACGUGCCAGCAGCCGCGGAAAUACGUAGGGGGCAAGCGUUACCCGGAUUUACUGGGUGUAAAGGGGGGGCAGACGGCGCUGCAAGCCAGGAGUGAAAGCCCGGGGCCCAACCCCGGGACUGCUCUUGGAACUGCGUGGCUGGAGUGCAGGAGGGGCAGGCGGAAUUCCUGGUGUAGCGGUGAAAUGCGUAGAUAUCAGGAGGAACACCGGUGGCGAAGGCGGCCUGCUGGACUGCAACUGACGUUGAGGCCCGAAAGCGUGGGGAGCAAACAGGAUUAGAUACCCGAGUAGG
rnacentral:rRNA from 1 species